rnacentral:rRNA from 1 species
UACGAAGGGGGCGAGCGUUGUUCGGAAUCACUGGGCGUAAAGGGCGCGUAGGCGGCCCUCUUUGUCGCGUGUGAAAUCCCCGGGCUUAACCUGGGAAUGGCAUUUGGGACUGCAAGGCUCGAGUGCGGCAGAGGAGACUGGAAUUCCUGGUGUAGCAGUGAAAUGCGCAGAUAUCAGGAGGAACACCGGUGGCGAAGGCGGUUCUCUGGGCCUUACCUGACGCUGAGGAGCGAAAGCGUGGGGAGCAAACAGG